UACAGAGGUCUCAAGCGUUGUUCGGAAUCACUGGGCGUAAAGGGUGCGUAGGCUGCGAGGAGGGUGGGGUGUGAAAUCCCUCGGCUUAACCGAGGAAUUGCGCUCCAAACCGCCUUGCUGGAGUGAGACAGAGGUGAGCGGAACUAAUGGUGGAGCGGUGAAAUGCGUUGAUAUCAUUAGGAACACCAGAGGCGAAGGCGGCUCACUGGGUCUCAACUGACGCUGAUGCACGAAAGCUAGGGUAGCGAACGGG
rnacentral:rRNA from 1 species